CUUUAAUCUAAUUUUUUCUUCAUUAAAAUGCAAUGAAAAAUAGAAAAACAGCCAAACUUUUCUUCAUUCUUUCAUCAUUUCCAGCCAAAGAUUACGAAGAGCCGUUGUGGAAGUCGCAGAGAGCCACUUGCAGUUCCAGAGCCACAGGUUGCAGACCCCUGGAUUAGGCGACUGUGUCAGCUGUGCUCAGGGUUCUGGCCCAAGCAUACCAGCGGGCUGCUUCACCCAUCCCCRGCACCAAGCAGCUGCCGCCCGGCCCUCCUCUCAUAUCACUCAGGGUCGCCUUACCCAGGGAUGAGGGGACAGCUGGCUGGAUGGGUGCAGCUGUGGACCUGCUUGGCGACCUCCAGCUCCUGCGUUUUCUCCCGCAGCAUCUCGUUUUCCCACUCCAGCUGGGAGU